AGCUAUAUUGCUAUGUUUUCUCCAGGUUAUUUUGAAUGGACAGCUUUGUCGCUGAUAAGCUAACUGAGUGGCGGCUAUCUGAGCUGAUAGAGAAUUUUAGAGGCCAUCCACAAACAUAAAAGAGGCCCUGGCGCUAUCAUUGGUUCAGACAUUCCCUGAAUGAUGACAUUGGCUAUAUUUCCAGAGACUCCAGAAUCAAAACCAAGCUCUGAGGGAGGAGAACCACGCCCUGAGGGAAAGCAAUGCACAAGCAGCUUUGGAUGACAGCGGCUCACUUCAAGAGCAGGUGAAGCAAGUUGGGACAAUGUUGAAGACGUUUGCUUGGACUUGGCAAUCAGGUGCAGAUCAGACCCUAAUGCUGCGACGUCUUGGAGAGUUUGGCGAUGUUGUGCGUAGCAUGGACAACAAAAUGGAAACUAUGCAGCAACAUUUCAGUGCCAAUGUGUCUGUUGGAGAGCCACUGAUGAGGCGGUCCAGGUUAACGUUACGCAUUACCUGAAAGGAGCAUCUGACCGUGAAGGCGGAAAAAAGGCGCCGCACAGCUGAGACCCCUUAAACCUAGGCUGACUACUGACACCCCCGCAUCACUGACAACUGGAACACUUUCUUUAUCCUGCAGUCAGUAACAUCAAGAAGCCAGAAGUGCCAGACUACACUCACCCAAUCCACACUAUUCACUGUGGAAAUUAUUAUUUUUUCUUCUCCUUCUUCUUUUUUUCCCUAGGGUCAUUCCCCAUGACCCUGCCUUGAGGGCAGCGCCUUGGAUGGAUAUGGGAUGGUGAGGUUUUUUGUCCUUUAUACAGGCGCACGAGGGAUCACUGAAGACAUGCCCAUUUUGCGCUGCCUCAUUCUGGAGAUCCCGUAGUCAGGCUUGAAAGACUGAUUAUCAUUACUUAGACUGUCCUGCAAUUCUUAGCCCACCCCACGCAGACCCCAACCACUCCACACAUUCUGAUUGGCUGUGUUCUCUACAGCCAGAUUUCCUGCUGUUAUUGUUUGUUCCCACUUGUUGUCAUGUGUAAAUUUAAUGUCAAAAUGUAUAUUACCUGGUAUAUCCUGCACAGUCUUUUGAUACCAAAGAUCUCAAUUACUUCCUAUACAAUUUGCUGUUGCAGUGCUUAUUCUAUUUAUAAAUAUAGCUUGUAAAUCCUAGAUUAUACCUCUAAUACUUGAUAUCUGCACAUUAUCUGUUCUGGUACCAAAUAUUCUACUUAACGUGACUUUAGUAUUGGCUUAUUUCAUUCCGUCAGUGCUUAACAAUGGUAUUAUAGUUUGUAAAUCCUAUUUCAUACCUGUUACUUGAUAUUGCACAUUAACUAGUACCAAAAUUCUACUUUCAUUCCA